rnacentral:rRNA from 1 species
AGGACGAACGCUGGCGGCGUGCUUAACACAUGCAAGUCGAGCGGAAAGGCCCUUCGGGGUGCUCGAGCGGCGAACGGGUGAGUAACACGUGAGUAACCUGCCCCUAGCUCUGGGGAUAGCUCCGGGAAACCGGGAUUAAUACCAGAUACGACCACUUUAGACAUCUGUCGUGGUGGAAAGGAUUCCGGCUAGGGAUGGGCUCGCGGCCUAUCAGCUUGUUGGUGGGUAACGGCCUACCAAGGCGACGACGGGUA